UCUACGGGGAGCAGCAGUGGGGAAUAUUGGACAAUGGGCGAAAGCCUGAUCCAGCCAUGCCGCGUGUGUGAAGAAGGCCUUCGGGUUGUAAAGCACUUUCAGUGGGGAAGAAAGCCUUGGGGCUAAUACCCUCGAGGAAGGACAUCACCCACAGAAGAAGCACCGGCUAACUCCGUGCCAGCAGCCGCGGUAAUACGGAGGGUGCGAGCGUUAAUCGGAAUUACUGGGCGUAAAGCGCGCGUAGGCGGUCUGAUAAGCCGGUUGUGAAAGCCCCGGGCUCAACCUGGGAACGGCAUCCGGAACUGUCAGGCUAGAGUGCAGGAGAGGAAGGUAGAAUUCCCGGUGUAGCGGUGAAAUGCGUAGAGAUCGGGAGGAAUACCAGUGGCGAAGGCGGCCUUCUGGACUGACACUGACGCUGAGGUGCGAAAGCGUGGGUAGCAAACAGGAUUAGAUACCCGGGUAGUC
rnacentral:rRNA from 1 species